GUUUCGGCUAUCGCUUACAGAUGGGCCCGCGGUGCAUUAGCUAGUUGGUAGGGUAAUGGCCUACCAAGGCAACGAUGCAUAGCCGACCUGAGAGGGUGAUCGGCCACACUGGGACUGAGACACGGCCCAGACUCCUACGGGAGGCAGCAGUAGGGAAUCUUCCGCAAUGGACGAAAGUCUGACGGAGCAACGCCGCGUGUAUGAAGAAGGUUUUCGGAUCGUAAAGUACUGUUGUUAGAGAAGAACAAGGAU
rnacentral:rRNA from 1 species